rnacentral:rRNA from 1 species
UACAGAGGUGGCAAGCGUUGUUCGGAAUUACUGGGCGUAAAGGGCGCGUAGGCGGUCUUGUAAGUCUUGUGUGAAAUCCCUCGGCUUAACUGAGGAACUGCACGGGAUACUGCGAGACUUGAGAUCGGGAGAGGGAAGCGGAAUUCCGGGUGUAGCGGUGAAAUGCGUAGAUAUCGUGAGGAACACCAGAGGCGAAGGCGGCUACCUGGACAAUUGCUGACGCUCAGGCACGAAAGCGUGGGGAGCAAAAGGG